GGCUUUCUGGAUUCGUGCCGAGAUUUCGUCACACAACAGACCAUCAGAACUGAUGAAACUCCCAAGGUGAGACA
rfam:Schistosoma mansoni strain Puerto Rico chromosome 3, complete genome